GCCCGGAACAGUAUGGCGGCCGCCUUUCUGCCCCCGAAGCAAGUCUUACCGCUGCAGGUGCUGCGGAGUUUAGUGCAUCCAGGGUUGGGAGGCUUGGGCUCCACCUGCAGCCGCUGCCCUCUCGGAGCUAAAAGAUAUCUACUUACAGAUAAUAUUGUGAAAUUAAAGGACUUUCAGCAUAAGAAGGUGGCUGUUGCAUGUAAUCUUCCUGGCACCAAAGAAACCUAUUUGAGAAACUUGGAAGAGAAACUGACGCAGAAUAAGCUCAUCUUGAAAGAGGAGUUGAGAACCUUACUUCAUUUGUGUGAGUGCUGGGACGAUGUGGAGCUGGCUAAAAAUGUCAUUUACAGGUACCAUGCAGAGAACAGGAAUAUCACUUUGGGGGAGUACAAGUUUGGACCACUUUUCAUGAGGUUAUGCUACGAGUUGGAUCUCGAGGAAUCUGCAGUGGAGCUCAUCAAAGACCAGCAUUUACGAGGUUUCUUCUCAGACUCCACAUCAUUCAAUAUUUUGAUGGAUAUGUUGUUUAUCAAAGGUAAAUAUGAAAGUGCAUUGGAAGUACUGAUUGAGAUGAAAAACCAAGAUGUGAAGUUCAACAAAGAUACUUACAUCCUUGCUUUUGCAGUUUGCUACAAACUGAAUAGCCCUGAAUCUUUUACAAUCUGUACCACGUUAAGGGAAGAAGCCCUCAUCAAGGGAGAAAUCCUCUGCAGGAGAGCAUCCUGUUUUGCAGUGGCAUUAGCUCUGAACCAGAACCAGCUGGCAAAAGCUAUAUCCAUUUUUUCUCAAAUCAUGAAGCCAGAAAGCAUAAUCUGCACUAAUUUAAAUCUUAUGAUCCACAUCCAGUCAAACAUGUUGAAAAGCCUAAUAGACACACUAAAGGAUGCUACAGAGGGGAAUCUGUCAAGAUUUGUGAAAAAACCUGUGUUCUCAGAAGAAGUGGGAGUUAAGAACAAGGGGAUUAAAAAUGCCCUCUGUUCUCAUGGAGCCUGCAUUCUACAGGAGGAACAGACAUUAAUUGGAUGACAGUGCAAAUGACCCCAUGAUCACAAUUGGGAUAAAUGAUUAGCCUGGGGGCAUAGAGAGUAAGUGGUGUAUGUGCACACAUGCAUGCACACACACACACACACACACACACACACACACAUAAGAGGAGGACCUUUUCUGGUCUUGCAUAGCACCAGUUGUCUAUGGCAUUCAUUUUGACACAGAAAGUAUGUUGCCGUGUAUUGUUACAGAACCUUAUAGUAUAUCAAGUGUCUCCUGAAGGACGAAGUAUUCUACAUUUGUCUUAUAUGACCCCAAAGUGCCUAUGUAGCAUAAUACUGUACAUACAAUGGGGCCUUAAUGUUUUUUGAAAGAAUGAACUAAUUAAUGGCAGAUUUUAGUUAAUAUGGACCAUCUGCCACAAUAUGCUUUAAGUAUUUCACGACGUUCUCACAAACCGGUCACUCUUUCUGUCCCAGUUUUAUAGAUGACAGACCCCAGACCCAGAGAAGGGCGCGUGGGCCGACCAGUGCAUUAACAGACUGGCCGAGCCCCUCUACCUUCCAGCUCUGACGCAUGGAUUCCCACCCCUCCCCCGCCUUGUUGCCCAGCCCUCAGCUAAUCUGAGACAGAAGUGACCACGCAUCCAUCCAGCUGCCCACCUCGCUCAGGUGACCCUUCUUCUGAGGGCUGGGGCCUCCAAGGGCCUCAGAGGCACUGUUAGCACCGUGAUCAAAGGUGGAGUUGGGGAAAGGAGGCUCAGAGGGAAAAAAGCCCACGCUUGGCUGCUAAUCACUGCCCUGCAGCUGAAACCUCCAAAGCUGGGUGAACUGGGACGGGAGAAGGCCUCAUUUAAUUAGGCUCUGAGAGGAAAAUGCACCAGUAGCCCGAGUGGGCCUAGAAGGCAUCAGGGUUUCCUGUGUGUCACCCGCAGGCCUGCCUGGGCAAUGCCUGCCCAGAUUAAUGAUGCUUACACCCACCAUCUUCGCUGAUUCCUUUUUCCUACCCCAAAUCAGGCAAGCUGCUCACCCACAACAGCCCAGCGUCACCACAUCACUUAAUCCCCCAACCUCCCUCACUCCCAGGCAGCAAGAUCAUCCUGUCAAAUUACAAGUGACAUCACAAAGAAGGAAGGCACAACCCCCCACCAACUGACUGCUCUACAACUGGAUCUGGUUUGAGUUCACGAAUGCAAGUCACAUGCCUGGCCACCAAGCAGCAGAACCUCAUGUCAAAUCAACCAGAUGAAUGCAACCUGACUACCUCUUCCAGCUGCCAUCAGAAAGGUCCUAUGUCUUGGAACUUUCUCCACUUAGGUGAGGGGGAAUUUGGUAUUCUGGUAUUCAUCACUGCCCAUUUCUAGGAAUACAUCAAAAAUCAAGUCCAUUAUCACGAAGCUUUAAUGUAUAUUUAGACUUCACAGAGUACUAAUUAUUAUAACAGGAUUGAGGUUGGGAUUCCGGUGAAAGACAGCCCUGACAGAGACCAGAGCCCAGGAGGAGGAGAAUGGCAGAGCCCUUGCUCAAGAGUAUUCAAUAGGUAACUCCUAGGAACCACGAAAAGUACCUGGAGGAGAUUCUGUUGGACUGGAUAUCUGACAACAACUGACGGGGUUGAAAAAAAAUCACAAAACACCUGGUUGAUGGCCAUUUGAUCAAACUCCUGUAGGAGUGUGGAGUGGAGUGGCCAGAGCUAAGUCUGUCUACAUGCCGUGUCUGCAGCCUCUUAUCCCAUUCAGAGGUUGGAUGUGGAGGUACGGCUAUGUGAAGGCAGUGCUCUACUGCACUGCACCUGGUGGAGGGGAUCUCACCAUCACCUGACUCACUGCAAGUAAACAAUCAGUAGCAUGAAACUCAGUCAUGCAGGAUGUGUCCUGACAACACUGAGAGCUGAGCGCUUAGCCAGUGAACAGUCGGUAUGAGCAGCAGUUCUGGACUCCUACACACCUGGCAGUCCACAGCUUCUGUUACCUUCUUAGAGUCAAAAUGCUGAACUCAGUGGACAAUGGGUCUGGCCCAAAUGUAUAAACCUUGUAUUCAUAUGGACCAUUCGGGUCUGUUUUUAAAAUCUUUUGUUCCCUCGAACCAUCUGAAUUCCGCAUUUCACUCUGCAACAGUAGACACAACUUAUAAGUUGUCUAUCCUUUCACUCUGUUGAAAUCCUUUUAUGUGCGAAACACCUGGAUAGAUACAGAGGGGGAAACAAAGGUAAACAGCACACAACUGCUACCUCUGAACAGCACAUCUCCUGGCUCCAUUCUGAAGAUUCUGAGACAGACAGCUAAUGAGUCCCCCUGUCUUGGAGUUAGUUUUGACAAGCAAGCUGGGCUGGAGGAGACUGG